UUUCCGUAGGUGAACCUGCGGAAGGAUCAUUACAGAGUUCAUGCCCUCACGGGUAGAUCUCCCACCCUUGAAUAUUUAUACCUUAGUUGCUUUGGCAGGCCGUGGAACCACCAUGGGCUCCGGCUUAUGCGUGCCUGCCAGAGGAAACAAACUCUGUUUUUAGUGAUGUCUGAGUACUAUAUAAUAGUUAAAACUCUCAACAACGGAUCUCUUGGUUCUG
rnacentral:misc_RNA from 1 species